AGCUCCCUUGAGAAAAAGAUUUCUGGUAGCAGAAUUGAGCUCCUAACCUUCCCGCUGGAAGAGCCGAGAACAGAUCCAGUGAAGAGCUCCCACAGCAUCAGUGUCACUGACAACUGAGAGUCUUGGUGUGGGAGCCAGCAGACACCUACAUAAGAGAAGGAUGGAAAUUUCCGACAGUAAAUGACCCACCUGGAAGCCAGGAGCACCCUAGUACCCAGACUAUGUUUUUGAAAGAUCAUUUCCUACUGGAAAGAACCAAACUUCUGGAGGAAAUGGCUGGUCACAAGCAGAAAGUAUGCAAGACAGGAGGGUACAUGAACUUCAUUCUGUUGCUGCUGGGCGAAGCUGAUGCAUCAGCCUUGGCAGUAUCUAACACAACAUAGCGCUGAUGGCCAGGAUUAUUGAAAAUGAGGCUCACCGAACAGUUAUCUGUCCUGUCUCCCCUCUAAACAUACCUGUGAUCUCUAGACUUUAUGGUACCCAGCUUCCAACUUCCUUCUCCAGCUUGACUCCUGAGUGGUCACAUUUCUGCACCAUUAAAAUCGUUGUGUACACUGUCA